rnacentral:rRNA from 1 species
UAGGGAAUCUUCCGCAAUGGGCGAAAGCCUGACGGAGCAACGCCGCGUGAGUGAUGAAGGUCUUCGGAUCGUAAAACUCUGUUAUUAGGGAAGAACAAAUGUGUAAGUAACUAUGCACGUCUUGACGGUACCUAAUCAGAAAGCCACGGCUAACUACGUGCCAGCAGCCGCGGUAAUACGUAGGUGGCAAGCGUUAUCCGGAAUUAUUGGGCGUAAAGCGCGCGUAGGCGGUUUUUUAAGUCUGAUGUGAAAGCCCACGGCUCAACCGUGGAGGGUCAUCGGAAACUGGAAAACUUGAGUGCAGAAGAGGAAAGUGGAAUUCCAUGUGUAGCGGUGAAAUGCGCAGAGAUAUGGAGGAACACCAGUGGCGAAGGCGACUUUCUGGUCUGUAACUGACGCUGAUGUGCGAAAGCGUGGGGAUCAAACAGG